UCCGGUUUGACACCGGCAGUCUCGCUAGAGUACUCGCCAUUACGCGUGAGCAACUAACGACAGGGGUUGCGCUCGUUAAGGGACUUAACCCGACACUUCACAGCACGAGCUGACGACAGCCAUGCAGCACCUGUGCACGUUCCACCCUUGCGGGCGUGGCCCCUCUUUCAAGGGGUUAAUCCGUACAUGUCAAGCCCAGGUAAGGUUCUUCGCGUUGCCUCGAAUUAAGCAACAUGCUCCACCGCUUGUGUGAGCCCCCGUCAAUUCCUUUGAGUUUUAGCCUUGCGACCGUACUCCCCAGGCGGCGCGCUUAUCGCUUUUGCUUCGACCGAACCGGCGUCAGAGCCACUCCGAUCUAGCGCGCAUUGUUUACAGCGUGGACUAC
rnacentral:misc_RNA from 1 species